AAAUAAUCUCCCCAGAAAGUACUAUAAAAUAAUAAGUUCGGCGCUUUUAUUUAAUUUUUAGUCGACCCUGGCUUGCUUCUUCCGGCUGAGUCGUCUGGAGGGGCAAGAGGGGCUAUGUAUUUUUGUUGAUUUAAUUCGUAAUGAUAAUUGUUUAUUAAUUGUUUAUUAAUAGUUUAUAAACAAUUAUGUUUUAUUCAAUAUAUUUCGACAGUCUCACCCCUUAUGGGUUUAUCACACAAUUAAUCAAGGAUAAACGCUAUGUAUUUUUGUUGAUUUAAUUCGUAAUGAUAAUUGUUUAUUAAUUGUUUAUUAAUAGUUUAUAAACAAUUAUGUUUUAUUCAAUAUAUUUCGACAGUGUCACCCCUUAUGGGUUUUUCAUGACGACAGAUAAAAAAACGACAGUGUUACCCUUUACGUUUCAUUUGAUGAAAACGACAGUUUUACCCCAUAUGUUUUUUUCCCAUGAUGACCGAUGAAAAACAACAGUGUUGUAUUUUAUUUGACAAGGACAUUUUUUUUUUUUUUUUAAUAUGUUUUUUUUCAUGACGACCAAUAAAAAAACAACAGUGUUACCCCUUAUGUAUUUUUCAUGACGACCAAAGAAAAACGACAGUGUCACCCCACAUGUUUCAUUUGAUUAAAACGACAGUGUUACCCCCUAUGUUUUAAUGGAUAAAUAUCGACAGUGUUACCCCUUAUGUUUUUUUCAUGAUGACCGAUAAAAAACAACAAUGUCACCCAUUAUGUUUUUUUCAUGACGACCAAAGAAAAACAACAGUGUUACCCCUUAUGUUUUUUUCAUGACGACCAAUAAAAAACGACAGCUUUACCCCUUGUGGUUUUUUUCAUGACGACCAAAGAAAAACAACAAUGUUACCCCCUCUGUUUUUUUUCAUGACGACCAAUAAAAAACAACAGUGUUACCCCUUAUGUUUUUUUUCAUGCUGACCAAUAAAAAACGACAGUGUUACCCAUUAUAUUUUAUUGACAAAGACAACAGUGUUACCCCAUGUUUUUUUUCAUGACGACCAAUAAAAAAGAACAGUGUUACCCCUUAUGUUUUUUUUCAUGAUGACCAAAGAAAAACGAGUGUCACCCCUCAUGUUUCAUUUGAUAAAAAUGACAGUGUUACCCCCUAUGUUUUAAUGGAUAAAUAUCGACAGUGUUACCCCUUAUGUUUUUUUCAUGACGACCGAUAAAAAACAACAAUGUUACCAAUUAUGUUUUUUUUCAUGACGACCAAAGAAAAACAACAGUGUUACCCCUUAUGUUUUUUUUCAUGACGACCAAUGAAAAACGACAGCUUUACCCUUUGUGGUUUUUUUCAUGACGACUAAAGAAAAACGACAGUGUUACCCCUUAUGUAUUUUUCAUGACGACCAAAGAAAAACGACAGUGUCACCCCACAUGUUUCAUUUGAUUAAAACGACAGUGUUACCC
rnacentral:lncRNA from 1 species